ACCCACAGCCGGCCACCUGCCCUCACUGCAGCCGUUGCUCCUCUGUCCUGCUGUUUUGCUUCCCAGUGCUGAGGUGGCAGCUCCAUUCCUCUGCACUUAAGUGACUGAAAAGUAGAGGUCGUUAGAAGCAGAUCUCUCAGAAGUGCUGAAAAUGCACAAUUUCACUGGCAGGCACAAAUAUCUGAUGAGCGAAUCACCUCAUUCUUCCUGCAGAAAAACAUUUUGGAAAGAUAGUGGAGAAGAAUAAAAAUUAUCAGCCAGUGAAAACUGUAGCAAACACCAGAUAAAGAAGGACUUCAGCAUACCUACUGGCAUUCCAAGGUCAACCUCACAUGACAUGGACUGCUUCAGGAAAGCAAAGGUGCAUGCACAGAUGCUUAACAGCCAUGGUAACCGGAAGGUGCACUCAGCAACGAAACUGCUGAAAGUUAUCUGCAAGCUGGCUUUGCAUUAGUCAGUAUUGGCAGUUUUCGGAGACCACCAUUCUUAAAUCCCUGGAAAUGUGCUGCCGGGGCUCCCACAGUGAUUACAUCAUACAGAGCAUCUGGAACAAGAAGAGACAAGCAGAGAUUUGUGUGAACCUAUGCCCAAAGCAUGGCAACACUACAUCUACUCUACAAUACAUGAAGAGAAUAAGUAUAUUAUUUUCAAGGAAUAAUCAAGAAUCUGUGUCUCAGGAAGGCCCAGGAGCUAAUCAAUCUUUCUGCACAGCCACCUGCACACAUUAGAAAGUUUACCUGAUUUAUUACUAUGUCUAAAUUAUAUGCCACAACAUAGAAAAAUACUCUAGUUCUGCAGUUUACAGAGCUACAAAGUAAAUUGGUCCUUUGCGUAUUUCACUUCAUUACAUCUUCCAUUAUUUAAAUUGCAGUCAUGUUGAAAGGCACAGAUUCAUGCAUCUUAGAGUCAGGAGAUCACUGUGAUGAAAUAGUCUGACUACCUAAUACAGGUUAUAGAAUUACAGCUAAUGAUUACUGCAUCCAGCUAAUGUCUUGAUGGUUGAGCAAAGACUUUUUAUUAUUAUUUUUCAUGUAAUUUUGAUUUAAAGACUUCAAGUAACAGUGAAUUCUUUUCAUCCUGAGAGAAUUACUCGACCUGACCAGUAAAAGUUUCCACUCUGCUUCUAGUUUGAAUUUGUUUAGGUUCUACUUUCAGAUAUAACUACCUUCUUGGCGCUACAUUUAAGACUCAUUUUCAAUCACUUUUUAAUUUUAUAUAUGCUUAUAAACGCAGUAACUGUCUUCAGCUGAAAAGUUACCAAGAUGCGAAAUAAAUACGCUGCUGAAGUUCUUGCUAACGUGACAAACUGUUGUUACUCUGUCUGUAAUGAUAUGCAUAAUGACUUUUUUCUAUGGAUGUAUGCUUACAGAACUGGAGAUGCAAUGCCUUUUUAGAAACAGCCUCUCAUCUUGGGCUUGCAAUUGUGAGAAUGAAGAUGAGGACAGUUCCAUCCACUGUCACUCUUUCAAAGUUUGAAUUCCCAUUUGCACUAAGCAGUAUUAUGCUGCAUUCAUUGGAGGUAUAAAAAUACAAGCUAAACUAAUGCAUUUUAAAAACAUUCUUCUAAAGGAAACAUUAAUUUUAAUUUUAUUUUGUUUUUAAUUUUAUUUUGUGAACUGUUUUAUUCAUCAAGGAAGCUUUCAAUGUAAAUUAAAAUCUCACCCUCUCCUAAAAUAGAACUUUUCUUGCAUUCUGAUGAUAAAUAUCGCUAGAAGGAAGAACUGUACAAAUGACUCAGAGUUAAUGAACUAUAUUUUACUUCCAGAGCUGAAUCUCAAAACAUAUUCACUCAAACUGAUUCCAACUCUAAUGAAUUGGUGGCUUGUCAACUCUUUCUUAAAAGGAGAAGCAAUAUAAUAUUAGCCUCAGGUGAGAUUCAAGAUUCUUUAAUAGCCCAUUCUUUCAGAUCUUCAUGGACAUUUAUCAAUAACACAAUCUUGGGCUAUUAGAGUUCCACAGUUCUGUUGUUUAAACAACAUAGGCUUGAAAAUAAAGAGAUCAACUCAUCAGUUUAAUUGCAUGAUGGCUUCUGAAUAUGUUUUCAGAGAACUCAAAACUAAAGGAAAAUACAUUAAAGACUAAGCAUCCUGGUGCUUUUGCUGAGUUGUUUUAAAAACAGCCAUUAUAACUACCUCAGGGGAUCUGUUCAGAAGGCAGCUUUCAUUGAGACUGCAGCCUCCUAGCAUAUGUCAAGAAGCAGCUCAUUCAGAUGCAAACACAUCCAGAUCAGCUGAGCCACCUCCCACAUGCAAAAGAACAUGGGAGACUAAGGUCAGCAAAGAAAACAUCUAUCAUCCUGGUGAUGGGCAUGGGGUGUUCUACCUCUCACCCUCCAGAGCAUGCUGCAUUGGAAAACGGUGCAUACUUGGGAAAAAUUUCUUGUAAUGUGCUCCACUGACACAUCAGUGCAGCCCCUCAUGAAAGGUAUGCACUGUCAGCACAAGUGUACUGGUACAGGAAUGUUCCAGUGACUCAGAACCAUCACCCAUGUCAAGAACAGACAAGUGUUGACAACAUUCCACAGCGGAGACGAAGCUUAAAAUGUCACUGAGAGUGAUAGGAGCUAUGUCACAUUGUCAGCAUGCUCCACAAAAAUUAACAAUUAAUAGAUAUUGGGAAGAAGGGGAAGGAAAGGAAGAAGAGCUUUCCCUCAAAUAAUUUGUUCAGAAUUUGAAGG